AAAAAUUUAGUUUAAAUAAAACAUUAACUUGUCAAGUUAAAAAUAUAUUAAAAAUAUAAUUUUUA
rnacentral:tRNA from 1 species